CCUACGGGUGGCAGCAGUGGGGAAUAUUGGACAAUGGGCGAAAGCCUGAUCCAGCCAUGCCGCGUGUGUGAAGAAGGCCUUCGGGUUGUAAUGCACUUUCAGUGGGGAAGAAAGCCUUGGGGCUAAUACCCUCGAGGAAGGACAUCACCCACAGAAGAAGCACCGGCUAACUCCGUGCCAGCAGCCGCGGUAAUACGGAGGGUGCGAGCGUUAAUCGGAAUUACUGGGCGUAAAGCGCGCGUAGGCGGUCUGAUAAGCCGGUUGUGAAAGCCCCGGGCUCAACCUGGGAACGGCAUCCGGAACUGUCAGGCUAGAGUGCAGGAGAGGAAGGUAGAAUUCCCGGUGUAGCGGUGAAAUGCGUAGAGAUCGGGAGGAAUACCAGUGGCGAAGGCGGCCUUCUGGACUGACACUGACGCUGAGGUGCGAAAGCGUGGGUAGCAAACAGGAUUAGAUACCCGAGUAGUC
rnacentral:rRNA from 1 species